AGCCCAUUAGUCUAAUGGUUAUGACGUCAGAUUUUCAUUCUGGAAAUAGGGGUUCAAUUCCCCUAUGGGCUA
rnacentral:tRNA from 1 species